UCUGCCCAUCGAUGGGGGAUAACGGCGCGAAAGCGCGGCUAAUCCCGCAUACGCUCGCAAGAGGAAAGCGGUAACGCGUCGAUGGAUGAGCCUGCGGCCCAUCAGGUAGUUGGUCGGGUAAUGGCCUACCAAGCCGAUGACGGGUAGCUGGUCUGUGAGGACAGACAGCCAGACUGGGACUGAGAACGGCCCAGACUCCUACGGGAGGCAGCAGCAAGGAAUUUUCGUCAAUGGGCGCAAGCCUGAACGAGCAACGCCGCGUGGAGGAUGAAGGCCUUCGGGUUGUAAACUCCUUUUGAGGGGAACGAUAAUGACGGUACCCUUCGAAUAAGCCCCGGCUAACUCUGUGCCAGCAGCCGCGGUAAGACAGAGGGGGCAAGCGUUGUCCGGAGUUACUGGGCGUAAAGCGCACGCAGGCGGUGCGAGAAGUGGUGUGUGAAAGCGUGCGGCUCAACUGCACGAGGCCAUGCCAAACUCUCGCACUCGAGGCCGAGAGAGGUCCGUCGAAUUGCCGGUGUAGUGGUGAAAUGCGUAGAGAUCGGCAGGAAGACCAAAGGUGAAGACAGCGGACCGGCUCGGUACUGACGCUCAGGUGCGAAGGCGUGGGGAGCAAACCGGAUUAGAUACCCGGGUAGUCCACGCGGUAAACGAUGACGACUCGGCAUAUAGGGGCGUCCCGCCCCCGUGUGCCCUAGCCAACGCGAUAAGUCGUCCGCCUGGGAAGUACGAGCGCAAGC
rnacentral:rRNA from 1 species